UACGUAGGAGGCGAGCGUUGUCCGGAAUUACUGGGCGUAAAGCGCGUGUAGGCGGUCGGAAACGUCGAGGAUGAAAGCCCUCUGCUCAACGGGGGGGAGUGUUCACGGAAACGGCCCGACUCUGUGGAGUCUGGUAGGGGGGUGCGGAAUGGCCGGGUGGAGGCGGUGAAAUGCGUAGAGAUCGGUCAGAACACCAGUGGCGAAGGCGGCACCCUGGGCCAGCACGUGACGCUGAGACGCGAAAGCGUGGGGAGCGAACGGA
rnacentral:rRNA from 1 species